UACGAAGGGGGGCUAGCGUUGCUCGGAAUCACUGGGCGUAAAGGGUGCGUAGGCGGGUCUUUAAGUCAGACGUGAAAUCCCUCAGCUUAACUGGGGAACUGCGUCUGAUACUGGCGAGCUUGAGUGCAGGAGAGGAACGCAGAAUUCCAGGUGUAGCGGUGAAAUGCGUAGAUAUCUGGAGGAACACCGGUGGCGAAGGCGGCUUCCUGGACCGACACUGACGCUGAGGCGCGAAAGCUAGGGGAGCAAACGGG
rnacentral:rRNA from 1 species